CUGGUAUCUCCUACACUGAACGUUGGAAAACAUGCCAACCACAAGUUUUCUUGCCAUGGGGAAGAAGGAGUUCUGAUUUCUGCAUCAAGUUCACCCCUGGGCAGUGAUUGGAGAUAAUUUCUAGGUUCUGAAGGCAGAAAACCGAGUUUGGGAGGAGAUGAUGACCUAAGGCCAUGGCGGGUCUGAUGUUCUCAGUGUGCGGUCAGCUGUCUGAGUGUUGGUCAGGAGGUCCGGGCUCAGGCUGUGUCAGACAGGGCAUUAGUGCCCGGUUAGACUAUACAAUUUGGGUACAGUCGAGUGCCGUGUAGGUGCUUGUCUGAAGAACUCUUCAGGAUUUGAAGAAAGAGUGAGUGUGAGGCACUUGCUCAGGCUUUUGACUCUGUAUUUAGUGUCAAAGAUAGCCGUGGAAU